rnacentral:rRNA from 1 species
UGCCCGCAAGGGAAUGUAGUGAGAGGUGCUGCAUGGCUGUCGUCAGCUCGUGUUGUGAAAUGUUGGGUUAAGUCUCGCAACGAGCGCAACCCCUAUCGUCUGUUGCCAGCAUUAAGUUGGGCACUCUGACGAGACUGCCUGGGUUAACCAGGAGGAAGGUGGGGAUGACGUCAAGUCCUCAUGGCCCUUAUGUCUAGGGCUACACACGUAAUACAAUGGCGCGUACAAAGGGAAGCGAACUCGCAAGGGGGAGCAAAUCUCAAAAAGCGCGUCUCAGUUCGGAUUGGAGUCUGCAACUCGACUCCAUGAAGUUGGAAUCGCUAGUAAUCGGAGAUCAGCACGCUCC